AAUACAGUACACGCGCGGAUCAUCUACAACUUCAGCUUCACACACACACACGCUGACACUGCUCCAGUCGUCCUAUUUAGCGCUCAGAAACCAAAACCACCCGACAAAAACUCUCUUCUCUCCCUCUAAGAAUACUUAAGAAAUGGCAUCACCGACAACAAGAGUGACAUUUCGGCUAGUGGUGGCGAUUCUAGUAGUGACGCUCGUCCUCUUCUACGCCGGCCGCCCUCUCUACUGGAAAAUCUCCGCCACUGUUCAAGAGAUCCGCGAGAACAAACGCACCGUCAAACAAGGCAUUUCUCAGUUUGUUUACGAAGCGCAGAAAUCGGUUGGCUGGUUUCACGACGAGUCCGAUUCUGGAGCCCGCGAGAACAGGAGAGCGAGUUUUUGGAGAGAAUAAACUUGAGGAUUGUGAUUGGAACAGUAGAAAAUGUUGCAGAUAAAUCUUUGGGUAGUUGUAGUAUUGAUUCUUGGACUUGUUAGAGGUAACUUGCACACUGUGGAGGGAAAGCCACGCCGGAUUCUUUUGGAUACAGAUGUCGAUACUGAUGAUUUCUUUGCUCUUUUGUACCUCGAAGCUUAACAGAUCAGAAUUUGAAUUGGAGGGCAUGCCGUGAGCCAAAUCUAUGACAUGCUUUACAUGAUGGGUCGCGACGAUGUAUCUGUUGGAAUGGGAGGUGAAGGUGGAAUAACAGAAGAUGGUCGGUCACAUACUUCCAGGUGCAUUCAAGAACACUGAGAUGAUAUAUCCAUCAAAGAGUUACGGAAUUUCUAGAGAUUCAGCCCCUAGAGACUAGCUAGCCUUCCUUGGCUUGGGUGGAUUGCUUUGAAUUUGAAUAGAGAUGCUUUCUCUGGUUCACUGAGGUAGUUCGACUAGCUGGAACGUAGCGAAGGUUCAGUUUGCUCUUCCAGAGAAGGAAGCUGAAUUUUGAUUAGUCGUCCUAUCGUAAUAAAAUGAAUUUAAUAAGUAGUAGAUCCCGAGUGCCACCGAUAUAGCUCUUGGAGGGCUAGUAGAAGUUGUUCACUCGGUUC